GAUGAACGCUGGCGGCGUGCCUAAUACAUGCAAGUCGAGCGAGCGGACGAGAAGCUUGCUUCUCUGAUGUUAGCGGCGGACGGGUGAGUAACACGUGGAUAACCUACCUAUAAGACUGGGAUAACUUCGGGAAACCGGAGCUAAUACCGGAUGAUAUUUUGAACCGCAUGGUUCAAAAGUGAAAGACGGUCUUGCUGUCACUUAUAGAUGGAUCCGUGCUGCAUUAGCUAGUUGGUAAGGUAACGGCUUACCAAGGCAACGAUGCAUAGCCGACCUGAGAGGGUGAUCGGCCACACUGGAACUGAGACACGGUCCAGACUCCUACGGGAGGCAGCAGUAGGGAAUCUUCCGCAAUGGGCGAAAGCCUGACGGAGCAACGCCGCGUGAGUGAUGAAGGUCUUCGGAUCGUAAAACUCUGUUAUUAGGGAAGAACAUAUGUGUAAGUAACUGUGCACAUCUUGACGGUACCUAAUCAGAAAGCCACGGCUAACUACGUG
rnacentral:rRNA from 1 species